GGGGCGGUCUCCUCCUAAAGAGUAACGGAGGAGCACGAAGGUUGGCUAAUCCUGGUCGGACAUCAGGAGGUUAGUGCAAUGGCAUAAGCCAGCUUGACUGCGAGCGUGACGGCGCGAGCAGGUGCGAAAGCAGGUCAUAGUGAUCCGGUGGUUCUGAAUGGAAGGGCCAUCGCUCAACGGAUAAAAGGUACUCCGGGGAUAACAGGCUGAUACCGCCCAAGAGUUCAUAUCGACGGCGGUGUUUGGCACCUCGAUGUCGGCUCAUCACAUCCUGGGGCUGAAGUAGGUCCCAAGGGUAUGGC
rnacentral:rRNA from 1 species